UGUAUGUAUGUAUGUAUAUGUAUACAUAGGCACACGGGGUGCGCUCUAUACUGUACGCGGGAUACUACACUGCAACUGUGCCAACGUGGACAGUGUCUCUGUGUUGCUCGGUUACUCCGUGGUUGGCCCUCGGUUCGGUUUGGUUCCCGCUUUUCCGAUUCCUUUUUCUCGGUUGCCGCAGCCGCAGAUGUGAGAUAGCGAUGCUUUUAUUACAUUUCCGGGUUUUCCGUUACCUUUGUUUCCGAUAACUAAUGGUAAAAAUAACCAAACAAAGCGGUAUGUAUGUACUUGUUCUUCUUUCCUGUCGAGAAAUUUGGUUCUUUUGUUGUUGGCGGUAAAAGCAUCAACUCGCAAAGUCGAACGAGUUACGUUACAGCUUGACAGACCAAUCCCGACCCGACACCGACAAAACAGGGCUGCUCGACAAAUGAAAAUUCAACAAGUCUUGACGACGCGUUACACGAUAUUCUUCGUAAGGCUUCGCUACUCCCACGAGACCAUUUUCUUCGUUUGAGAAUUGAUAUUGAGAUAGAACCAUGGCCGGCCGUUUAAGAGUACCAUCGUGUUUCUUAUCGCGACUUCCAUAUACGACGGAUUUGCCAAAAUUCAAUUUAUUUUCUAUCAAAAAGAUGAAGAAGAAUUGGUCGGCUACGAUACGAAAGUACAACUCGCAGGAGGAUAGAAAAGUGGGAAAACGAGGCGACUGACUGGAUUCGAUUUUUUUGCCCUCAGAGGCUGUAGCGGUGUUUUUGUAAGCUACAGUACGGGCUUAGCAACCCCGAGGUAUCCGAGCUAGAUGACCCCCACAGAGAUGAGUUGUCGAGCGAUUGUCAGAGAUAAAAAGUUAUGCAAUAUAGGAGGGCCAGUAGGUCCCCAUAGAAAUAAAAAGUUAUAUUACCGAUGUUAUGCAGCGAGUUACGCACGCGGGGACGGCACUCCCCGUUCCGGGAGGCCGCUGAAGGAUCAGACCGAGCGUAGAAAAUCAACUAGGUGGCCACGUGGUGAUCGAUACUGUAAGCACAAGGCCAUUGGAUGAAAGACGAGGGGAGAGUCGGACUUUUGGUGACGAGCAUUCGUUAUACAUAUGUAUUAUACAUUGCCGACUAGAGCGCACACAUCCACGAAUUACGUGGAAAAUCAUUUCGUAAAAAUCCCAUUUACCGCAUUACUUUUCAGUAUUCUUACCAUUAUCGUGUUUGUUUCUGAAAGGAAAAUGUGGAAUGUGUUGUAGAUUUGCGUUGCGACCAACAACUUGUCGCCUGUACCUUGAUAGAAAUUAACGUUGUUGUGGUUAACAACAGUUGUUUCGCCAAGGAGGGAACCGGCGAGCCGAGCCGAGGCGAGCGAGCCCGAGAACAUGAAAGAUUUAAGCUCCAUAUCUCUUUACCCCGACCCGCGUACUUGUGCCGAGUGUCUCUUGGCUAGCCUUCUUUUCUCUGGAGUCGGUCUCAGCGUACGCCGAACGAGUAAACUAUUUAUAUCGGCAGUCUGAAACGAGUUUUACCAGAGUAUCACCAAUGUGCAUUUCGGCAAUGCAGAAGGGACACGUCUGGACCUCGUAUUAUUCUCCGGUUUACGUUGGCCGUGUCUACAUAAAUGUUUGAAAAAUAAAGGACAAGCUAGCACGCCUACUCGAGAAAAUUGUUUCGCGACGUUGAAAAGUCUAUCGAAAAAAAGCCAACGGGCGGUAGCUUGUACUCGAUGAAAAAUUAAUUAGUCGACGAGUUUCGGUUCGUCAAUCUCUCCACGAGUCUCGUUUAGAAAAGGAAAGAUUACCGAUUAUAGAGAGCCGUUUUUCAUAUUCUCAAAUGGAUUCAAACAUUAAUUACCUUUGGCACGAAUGGCUUGUGAUAUACUCGAGUCGGGAAUUCACGAGUUUCGCUAGUUGAAAUGCGAGACAAGCAACCGGUGUAGUUUACUGGUUCAACUUUUUCGCCCUUCUUCCACUUUUCCUCCUCUUUUCCAAGAGGAGCUUGCCCAACUCGCUGCAUAAUGCAGCCGACUAUAUUGAAUGCUUGACAGCGCGGCCGGCCAAGUGAUAAAGAAAUCCGCGAAAAGCUCCCUAGGCCAACGUUGACGGAAUGUUAGGUGACCUCGAUGUACUCGUUCGACCGAAAAACAUUUAUUUUCUUUUGUUCUGAAAUAAACAACAUUCCGAGUUUACGUAAUAUCAUAUUAUACAUACUAUACUUGAUAGUUUAUAUAAUCGCUAUCAAAGUACGUAAGUA